rnacentral:ncRNA from 1 species
GUAUUGUGGGGACCACCUCCUCGAGAGGUGUUGGGCAUUAGCCAGCCACGACGGCUUGCACGUGAGAACUAGACCCCUUCGUGCAGACACCAAGCCAGCCGUCGCAGCCAGCCAGGCCGCUUUUUUCG